GAGAAAGGCAAUAAAGCAAUGAGGACUGCUAAUCCUCAACCCCAAAGUUAAAAUCUUUGGCUAUCUCA
rnacentral:tRNA from 1 species